CGUUGACCUCGGAUCAGUAGGAUACCCGCUGAACUUAAGCAUAUCAAUAAGCGGAGGAAAAGAAACCAACAGGGAUUGCCUCAGUAACGGCGAGUGAAGCGGCAACAGCUCAAAUUUGAAAUCUGACCCCUUCGGGGCCCGAGUUGUAAUUUGUAGAGGGUGUUUCGGGCGCGGUGCCGGUCUAAGUUCCUUGGAACAGGACGUCAUAGAGGGUGAGAAUCCCGUAUGCGACCGGCGACCAAGCCCAUGUGAAGCCCCUUCGACGAGUCGAGUUGUUUGGGAAUGCAGCUCAAAAUGGGUGGUAAAUUCCAUCUAAAGCUAAAUAUUGGCCGGAGACCGAUAGCGGACAAGUAGAGUGAUCGAAAGAUGAAAAGCACUUUGGAAAGAGAGUCAAACAGUACGUGAAAUUGUUGAAAGGGAAGCGCUUGCAAUCAGACCGGUCCGGGGGUGAUCAGCCGCUGCUCGUCAGCUGGCGCACUCGCCCUCGAUCCGGCCAGCAUCGGUUUGGGCGGUGGGAUAAAAGCCCCGGGAAUGUAGCUUCUUUCGGGGAGUCUUAUAGCCCGGGGCGCAAUGCUGCCCGCCUGGACCGAGGACCGCGCUUCGGCUAGGAUGCUGGCGUAAUGGUUGCAAGCGACCCGUCUUGAAACACGGACCAAGGAGUCUAACAUCUAUGCGAGUGUUUGGGUGUCAAACCCAGGCGCGGAAUGAAAGUGAACGGAGGUGGGAGCCCAUCAAACGGUGCACCAUCGACCGAUCCAGAUGUCUUCGGAUGGAUUUGAGUAUGAGCAUAGCUGUUGGGACCCGAAAGAUGGUGAACUAUGCCCGGAUAGGGUGAAGCCAGAGGAAACUCUGGUGGAGGCUCGCAGCGGUUCUGACGUGCAAAUCGAUCGUCAAAUCUAGGCAUAGGGGCGA
rnacentral:rRNA from 1 species